UGGACCAAUGAAGAUAAUUCAUCUACAAACCAAGUAUUAUGAUUAACACAGUUCUGUGCAACUAAGGUCCAUU
rnacentral:snoRNA from 1 species